CUCUGCUGAAGGAACUAGGCAAAAUGGUACCGUAACUUCGGGAGAAGGUACGCUGUUGUUGGUGAUGGAACUCGCUUCCUGAGCUGACGACAGCCGCAGAAACCAGGCCGCUGCAACUGUUUAUUAAAAACAUAGCACUCUGCAAACACGAAAGUGGACGUAUAGGGUGUGAUGCCUGCCCGGUGCUGGAAGGUUAAUUGAUGGGGUUAGCGUAAGCGAAGCUCUUGAUCGAAGCCCCAGUAAACGGCGGCCGUAACUAUAACGGUCCUAAGGUAGCGAAAUUCCUUGUCGGGUAAGUUCCGACCUGCACGAAUGGCAUAAUGAUGGCGGCGCUGUCUCCAGCAGAGGCUCAGUGAAAUCGAAAUCGCUGUGAAGAUGCAGUGUACCCGCGGCUAGACGGAAAGACCCCGUGAACCUUUACUGCAGCUUGACACUGAACUUUGACCUUACUUGUGUAGGAUAGGUGGGAGGCUUUGAAGCUGGAACGCUAGUUCCAGUGGAGCCGUCCUUGAAAUACCACCCUGGUAAUGUUGAGGUUCUAACUCUGUCCCGUGAUCCGGGACGAGGACCGUGUCUGGUGGGUAGUUUGACUGGGGCGGUCUCCUCCUAAAGAGUAACGGAGGAGUACGAAGGUGCGCUCAGCGUGGUCGGAAAUCACGCGUAGAGUAUAAAGGCAAAAGCGCGCUUAACUGCGAGACCCACAAGUCGAGCAGGUACGAAAGUAGGUCUUAGUGAUCCGGUGGUUCUGUAUGGAAGGGCCAUCGCUCAACGGAUAAAAGGUACUCUGGGGAUAACAGGCUGAUACCGCCCAAGAGUUCAUAUCGACGGCGGUGUUUGGCACCUCGAUGUCGGCUCAUCUCAUCCUGGGGCUGAAGCAGGUCCCAAGGGUAUGGCUGUUCGCCAUUUAAAGAGGUACGCGAGCUGGGUUUAGAACGUCGUGAGACAGUUCGGUCCCUAUCUACCGUGGGCGCUGGAAAUUUGAGAGGAUCUGCUCCUAGUACGAGAGGACCAGAGUGGACGAACCUCUGGUGUACCGGUUGUGACGCCAGUCGCAUCGCCGGGUAGCUAUGUUCGGAAGGGAUAACCGCUGAAAGCAUCUAAGCGGGAAGCCUACCUCAAGAUAAGAUUUCCCUAGGACUUUAUGUCCUCUAAAGAGCCGUUCGAGACUAGGACGUUGAUAGGUUGGAUGUGGAAGCAUAGUGAUAUGUGAAGCUGACCAAUACUAAUUGCUCGUGAGGCUUGACUAU
rnacentral:rRNA from 1 species